AGCAGCCGCGGUAAUUCCAGCUCCAAUAGCGUAUAUUAAAGUUGUUGCAGUUAAAAAGCUCGUAGUUGAAUUUCGGGGUUAGUAGGCUGGUCAUGCCACCGGUAUGUACUGGUCUUUCUGAUUCCUCCUUCCUGAUGAACUGUAAUGCCAUUAAUUUGGUGUUGCAGGGAAUCUGGACUGUUACUUUGAAAAAAUUAGAGUGUUUAAAGCAGGCUAACGCUUGAAUACGUUAGCAUGGAAUAAUGAAAUAGGACGCUCGAUCCUAUUUUGUUGGUUUCUAGGAUUGACGUAAUGAUUAAUAGGGAUAGUUGGGGGCAUUAGUAUUCAAUUGUCAGAGGUGAAAUUCUUGGAUUUAUUGAAGACUAACUACUGCGAAAGCAUUUGCCAAGGAUGUUUUCAUUAAUCAAGAACGAAAGUUAGGGGAUCGAAGACGAUCAGAUACCGUCGUAGUCUUAACCAUAAACUAUGCCGACUAGGGAUCGGAUGAUGUUAAUUUUUAAUGACUCAUUCGGCGCCG
rnacentral:rRNA from 1 species